rnacentral:rRNA from 1 species
AGUCGCUGGGUGUAGACCCGAAACCAAGUGAUCUAUCCAUGGCCAGGAUGAAGGUGCCGUAACAGGUACUGGAGGUCCGAACCGACUAGUGUUGCAAAACUAGCGGAUGAGCUGUGGAUAGGGGUGAAAGGCUAAACAAACUUGGAAAUAGCUGGUUCUCUCCGAAAACUAUUUAGGUAGUGCCUCAAGUAUUACCAUCGGGGGUAGAGCACUGUUUUGGCUAGGGGGUCAUGGCGACUUACCAAACCAAGGCAAACUCCGAAUACCGAUGAGUACAGCUUGGGAGACAGAGCACCGGGUGCUAACGUCCGGACUCAAGAGGGAAACAACCCAGACCGCCAGCUAAGGUCCCUAAAAUUGGCUAAGUGGGAAACGAAGUGGGAAGGCUAAAACAGUCAGGAUGUUGGCUUAGAAGCAGCCAUCAUUUAAAGAAAGCGUAAUAGCUCACUGAUCGAGUCGUCCUGCGCGGAAGAUGUAACGGGGCUAAGCCAGUUACCGAAGCUGCGGAUUUGCAAUUUAUUGCAAGUGGUAGGAGAGCGUUCUGUAAGCCUGUGAAGGUGCGUUGUAAAGCGCGCUGGAGGUAUCAGAAGUGCGAAUGCUGACAUGAGUAGCGUUAAAGGGGGUGAAAAGCCCCCUCGCCGUAAGCGCAAGGUUUUCUACGCAACGUUCAUCGGCGUAGAGUGAGUCGGCCCCUAAGGCGAGGCAGAGAUGCGUAGCUGAUGGGAAACAGGUCAAUAUUCCUGUACCGAUGUGUAGUGCGAUGUGGGGACGGAGAAGGUUAGCUCAGCCAACUGUUGGAUAUGUUGGUUCAAGCCUGUAGUCGUGCCUGGUAGGAAAAUCCGCCGGGCUUAGAUGAGGGGUGAUAACGAGGCUGCUUGCAGCCGAAGUGAGUGAUACCCUGCUUCCAGGAAAAGCCACUAAGCUUCAGCUACACACGACCGUACCGCAAACCGACACUGGUGCGCGAGAUGAGUAUUCUAAGGCGCUUGAGAGAACUCAGGAGAAGGAACUCGGCAAAUUGACACCGUAACUUCGGAAGAAGGUGUGCCCUUAGUAGGUGAAGUCCCUCGCGGAUGGAGCCCAAUGGGGUUGCAAAAAAUCGGUGGCUGCGACUGUUUAUUAAAAACACAGCACUCUGCAAACACGAAAGUGGACGUAUAGGGUGUGACGCCUGCCCGGUGCUGGAAGAUUAAAUGAUGGGGUGCAAGCUCUUGAUUGAAGUCCCAGUAAACGGCGGCCGUAACUAUAACGGUCCUAAGGUAGCGAAAUUCCUUGUCGGGUAAGUUCCGACCUGCACGAAUGGCGUAACGAUGGCCACACUGUCUCCUCCUGAGACUCAGCGAAGUUGAAAUGUUUGUGAUGAUGCAAUCUCCCCGCGGAAAGACGGAAAGACCCCAUGAACCUUUACUGUAGCUUU